rnacentral:rRNA from 1 species
AACGAACGCUGGCGGCACGCCUAACACAUGCAAGUCGAACGAGGCCCUACCUUCGGGUAGUGAGUCGAGUGGCAAACGGGUGAGUAACGCGUGGGAACCUGCCUUUUAGUGUGGAAUAACAGUUGGAAACGACUGCUAAUACCGCAUACGCCCUUCGGGGGAAAGAUUUAUCGCUGAAAGAUGGUCCCGCGUUUGAUUAGUUUGUUGGUGGGGUAACGGCCUACCAAGACGAUGAUCAAUAGCUGGUCUGAGAGGAUGAUCAGCCACACUGGGACUGAGACACGGCCCAGACUCCUACGGGAGGCAGCAGUGGGGAAUAUUGGACAAUGGAGGAAACUCUGAUCCAGCGAUGCCGCGUGAGUGAUGAAGGCCUUAGGGUUGUAAAACUCUUUCAGUAGGGAAGAUAAUGACUGUACCUACAGAAGAAGCUCCGGCUAACUUCG